AAAAGUGUAAUUCUUUAAGCAGUUAAAGUUUGCUUCUUAACUUUUGAUAAAUGUGAUCUGAUCCCAAACUCAAGAGGAAUAUCUUAUUAUGCCGCUCUAUAAAAUAAUGAAUAGAGAGAAGUUCAUCUCUUUUGUCUUCUAGUUAACUUAAAAAAGUUAUGGUUAACUUUCAACUACUAAUAUUUAAUAUUUCUAGUUAAUGUUUGUAAGUUUUUUAACUUUAAGACAGACCUUCAACUAUCAAUAAUACUACCAAUGCAAAUGUAAACUGCAUGCUUGAAUGCAAAGCAGUUAAUUAAUUCUAAUGGUAUUGCACAUUAAUCUUGGCUUCAACGCAGUCUAAAACUUGCCUAAGCCCUGUUGGUUGCUGGGGAGUCUUUGAUUCUUGUGUGUGUGUCUAAUUUACUAAUGAACUUGGUGUCAUUUAGGGCUGAAGCAAGCACAUCUGAACGGGUCUGGCUGCUCUGGGCAGCUGGGGAAGGGCACCCACAGUGUUCUGAACAGAGUUGGAAGAACACCAGCGCUGAGAUGAGUCAGAGCCUCUCAAAGUGUGUGAAGCACCAGAUGGUGGUUAAGGGAAGGAAGAAAGCCUAAAGACUGUUGAAUUAAAGGAGAUUUCAAAGGAAUGGAAGGAAAAACACAAGUUGAAUUUUGAAAGGUUUAAUCAAAACAGAUGGCAGAAUAUCUCAGCCUGAGGGAAGGGGAAAAUUGUCUCAGAACCCAUCUGAAGUGGGAGCUUCUUCACCCUUGCUUCCUGGGUCCCUGUCUGCUGCCUCUCUGCAGGCUGACAGUUCAAGCUGGAUAAUGAGGAAGGAGAGGCGCAUGCCUGUGUGUGUGUGUGUGUGUGUGUGCACACACUCACACGUGUGUGAGUGUAGGAGAUAACAUAUAUGCCAGACACAAGAAUUAACGUUGUUGAAAUGCUUUUUAAAGUAAGCUG
rnacentral:lncRNA from 1 species